CCUACGGGUGGCUGCAGUGGGGAAUAUUGGACAAUGGGGGCAACCCUGAUCCAGCCAUGCCGCGUGUGUGAAGAAGGCCCUCGGGUUGUAAAGCACUUUCAGUGAGGAAGAACGCCUGGUGGUUAAUACCCAUCAGGAAAGACAUCACUCACAGAAGAAGCACCGGCUAACUCCGUGCCAGCAGCCGCGGUAAUACGGAGGGUGCGAGCGUUAAUCGGAAUUACUGGGCGUAAAGCGCGCGUAGGUGGCUUGAUAAGCCGGUUGUGAAAGCCCCGGGCUCAACCUGGGAACGGCAUCCGGAACUGUCAAGCUAGAGUGCAGGAGAGGAAGGUAGAAUUCCCGGUGUAGCGGUGAAAUGCGUAGAGAUCGGGAGGAAUACCAGUGGCGAAGGCGGCCUUCUGGACUGACACUGACACUGAGGUGCGAAAGCGCGGGUAGCAAACAGGAUUAGAUACCCGAGUAGUC
rnacentral:rRNA from 1 species